UCUGUCAGCAUCACCCAACCCAACCACAUAUCCCUAAAGGUACACUCUGUCAGCAUCACCCAACCCAACCACAUAUCCCUAAAGGUACACUCUGUCAGCAUCACCCAACCACACAUCCCUAAAGGUACACUCUGUCAGCAUCACCCAACCACACAUCCCUCAAGGUACACUCUGUCAGCAUCACCCAACCACAUAUCCCUCAAGGUACACUCUGUCAGCAUCACCCAACCCAACCACAUAUCCCUAAAGGUACACUCUGUCAGCAUCACCCAACCCAACCACAUAUCCCUAAAGGUACACAGGAACAAUCUUUAAUUCAUUAGCCUAGUUAUUGGCAGUCAUCCAACUUAAAGGAUAAUGGAUAUCAAUCAACAGCAUUUAGAGUUGAUUAUUGAGCCCAAAUGAUUACUAGAGCCAGUCACACUGAAAUGAUCACUAGAACCAGUCACACUAACUGAAAUGAUCACUAGAACCAGUCGCACUAACUGAAAUGAUUACUAGAACCAGUCACACUAACUGAAAUGAUUACUAGAACCAGUCGCACUAACUGAAAUGAUCACUAGAACCAGUCGCACUAACUGAAAUGAUCACUAGAACCAGUCGCACUAACUG